UAUUCAUUUUAAACUUUUAUUCCCUUAGCCU
rnacentral:piRNA from 1 species